GAAGUAGUGAUUCUGCUGGUGUUGUGACAGCUUAUUAUAUGUGUACAGAAAAUGGUGCAGGGCCAGAAAGAGAUGAGCUUGAUUUUGAGUUUUUGGGAAACAGAACAGGACAAGCAUAUUUGAUUCAAACAAAUGUGUACAAGAAUGAAUUGGACCGGUAAUCGUGAGAUGAGACAUAUGCUUUGGUUUGAUCCCACUGAGGACUAUCACACCUAUUCUAUUCUCUGGAAUAAUCACCAGAUAGUGUAAGUUCAAUCGUAUAUUACUCUUAUUGGUGUUCUUAAUCUUAUAACCCAAGUCAAAAAAUGACAUCAAAGUUUUUGUGGAUAGAGUUCCAAUAAUUAAGGGUGUUCAAGAACAAUGACAAACCAAACAAUAUCUUCCCAAAUUAGAAACCAAUGUACUUGUUUUCAAGUGUAUGGAAUGCAGAUGAUUGGGCUACAAGAGGUGGACUUGAAAAAACAAAUUGGAAAUUAGCACCAUUUGUGUCAUCCUACAAAGACUUUAGUGUUGAUGCUUGUCAAUGGGAAGAUCCAUUUCCUAAAUGUGUUUCAACCACAACAAAAAAUUGGUGGGAUCAGUAUGAUGCUUGGCUUCUUUCAGGUGAUCAGAAAAUGGAUUAUGCUUGGGUUCAACGAAACCUUGUCAUCUAUGACUAUUGCAAUCAUUCUGAACGUUUUCCAACUUUGCCUGAGGAGUGCUCAUUGAGUCCAUGGGAGUAAUGUAUCAAGGGAAAAUAUAUGAAAUAUCAUUUUUCUUUUAAAUAUCUAUUUUUGUAUCAA